UGAGCCUGAGGCUGGUCUGGCUUAUUUUGAUCCAAGCGGCUUGAUUUCAUUUCCUGUUUCUGAACAAAUCUGCGCGGCCGGACGCCCACGUCUCUGGAGGCGAGGUGGCCCCUCACGCUCUAGUGGUCCGGGCCGACCUCUGCAGUUCCAGCGGGCACCGUGCUGCAGAGGGCUCUCAGCUCCUGCUCCCGCCGCGCUCCCCUCGCCUCUGGGCUUUGUCUUGCCAGUUAAAACCCUGAAUGGAACAAGACAUCCCUCCUACAAGGGAGACGGAAUUCUUGCUUGAUGGCUUCUGAACUGGGAUCCAGUAUUGGCUUUUGUCCACCAGACUUCAGACUGGGGUCUUGGCCUUCCAACUGGGACCAGAACUACAUCAUCAACCCUGGUGGCUCUCCAGCUUCCUGACUCAGCCUUCUGAUGUAGGACUUGUCAGUCUUCAUGAUCUCAUGAGCCAGUGCCUUAUAAUAAAUACAUUAUCUUGGUUGUUUCUCUAGCGAAUCUAAUAUAAAUAUUUAUUAAGAUAUCUGAUCAUAGAAUUGUCCUCACUUCCUGAUAGCAUCUAAACCAGAACAAAAGCAUACUUUCACAAGUCACCGUAUACAAACCCAAAUCUUAUUUCAAGCCUUGUCAACAGCCUCUGCCUGAGAUAAAUAUGGCCUUCCUUCCUGUAACAAGCCAGAACCCCAGUUUGUUCAAUUACAGAUGUGUUCCUGUUAGUCUUUA